rnacentral:rRNA from 1 species
AUAGCAGUCAGACUACGUGAGAUAAGUCUCGUGGUCAAAAGGGAAACAGCCCAGAUCUACAGCUAAGGUCCCAAAUGAACACUAAGUGGAAAAUGAUGUGAAACUGCGAAGACAACCAGGAUGUUGGCUUAGAAGCAGCCACUCAUUCAAAGAGUGCGUAAUAGCUCACUGGUCGAGUGGUUUUGCGCAGAAAAUGUAACGGGGCUAAGUGUUCAACCGAAGCUUAGGCAGACGCAAGUCUGGGUAGGGGAGCGUUGUAUGCGGGGUGAAGUCAGAGCGGAAGCACUGGUGGACUUCAUACAAGUGAGAAUGCCGGAAUAAGUAGCGAGAAUUAUGUGAGAAUCAUAAUGGCCGAAAAUCUAAGGUUUCUUGGGGAAGGUUCGUCCGCCCAAGGUUAGUCGGGAGCUAAGGCGAGGCCGAAAGGCGUAGUCGAUGCACAUACGGUAGAAAUUCCGUAACCACCGAACUUUAAGCAUAAGGGACGCUUUCAUUAAGUCUAACCCCGGCGAUGGUUGCCCGGGGCGAAAGGGACCGAAAAAUAGUAGGGAAGUAGAUGGCGUGAGAGACGAGAAAAGCUUAUGUGUAUACUAAGGUGCCCGUACCGCAAACCGACACAGGUAGAUGGGAUGAGUAUUCUAAGGCCAACGGGAGAAGGGUUGUUAAGGAACUCGGCAAAUUGGCCCCGUAACUUCGGGAUAAGGGGCGCCUGCGAGAGCAGGCCGCAGUGAAAAGGCCCAAGCGACUGUUUAGCAAAAACACAGCUCUCUGCUAAAUCGAAAGAUGACGUAUAGGGGGUGACGCCUGCCCGGUGCUGGAAGGUUAAGGGGAGUGCUUAGCGCAAGCGAAGGUGCGAACUUAAGCCCCAGUAAACGGCGGCCGUAACUAUAACGGUCCUAAGGUAGCGAAAUUCCUUGUCAGGUAAGUUCUGACCCGCACGAAUGGCGUAACGAUUUGGGCACUGUCUCAACAGCCCGCCCGGCGAAAUUGUAGUACCGGUGAAGAUGCCGGUUUCCCGCAACUAGACGGAAAGACCCCAUGGAGCUUCACUGUAGCUUGAUAUUGGAUCUCGGUAUUCCAUGUACAGGAUAGGUGGGAGCCUGGGAAGCAAGUGCGCCAGCAUUUGUGGAGGCAACCUUGGGAUACCACUCUUGGGGUAUUGGGAUUCUAACCUGCGGCCAUGAAUCUGGUCGGGGGACACUGUCAGGUGGGCAGUUUGACUGGGGCGGUCGCCUCCUAAAGAGUAACGGAGGCGCUCAAAGGUUCGUUCAGCACGGACGGAAAUCGUGCACUGAGUGUAAACGCAAAAACGAGCCUAACUGCGAGAAUGACGGUUCGAGCAGUAACGAAAGUUGGAGUUAGUGAUCCGGCGGUAUGUGAAUGGAAAUGCCGUCGCUCAACGGAUAAAAGCUACCCUGGGGAUAACAGGCUGAUCU